CGCACAGUAAACUAUGGAUACUCUCUGCCGGCGAUAUAUUGUCGGUGGCCAAGCGAAAGCGUUAAGUAUCCCACCUGGGGAGUACGUUCGCAAGAAUGAAACUCAAAGGAAUUGACGGGG
rnacentral:rRNA from 1 species